AAGAAAGUGGGCACUACUUGGAAAGAGACUCUUGUCUAUUUCAUAACCUUCUUUCCUUCUUCCUUCCUUGCCUUCUUAUCCAUCUUCUUCUUCUAAGAAAUCGAAAAUCAACCAAAUGGGGAAUUGCCAGGCUGUUGAUGCAGCUGCACUAGUAAUACAACAUCCAAAUGGUAAGAUAGACAGGAUGUAUUGGCCUAUGACAGCUAGUGAAGUUAUGAAAAUGAACCCUGGUCACUAUGUUUCACUCAUCAUACCUCUUCCUAUCUCCUCCGAUGACAACUCCAAUGAUAAAACUGUUCGUUUCACACGCGUUAAACUUCUCCGUCAAACAGACACUUUAGUCCUUGGCAGAGCUUAUAGACUUGUCACAACACAAGGUAUGUGUGAUG
rnacentral:lncRNA from 1 species